UUCUUCUUCUUCCUUCUUCUUCUUGCUUUCUUAUGCUUCUUCUAUACUCUUCAAGAUGCAAUAAUGAAAUUCAUGUGGAGAAUUUUAGGGAAAGCAUGUUUAAUUUAGGGUUUCAAAAGCUUGGUUAGACUUAUCCAUGGUGGAAGAUGAAAUAAGUGAGAGGGAAGAGUGAGUCACGUUUUUCCUUUUGAAGAUGAUGAAUUUAAUUUUUUUUUCUUUUGUUUCUUUUAUUUAUUUUGCUAUGG
rnacentral:misc_RNA from 1 species